rnacentral:lncRNA from 1 species
GAAGAGGGAGAGGAUACAAAGGAGGAGGAGGAAGAAGUAAAGUGGAGCAGAAGCACAUGACCUGGAGAAACCGCAAAUUCUAAGGGGUCUCAUAGAUGUGGAAGAUGGUGCGGGUGCACACGUGGGAAGCUCAUUCCCCAAGCCGUCUCCCAGGCCAGCCUGGACUCCCCAGGGUGUCUGCUCCAAGUACGAAUGUGUAGGUGAGCAUCAUCUUAUGGUGACUGCUGUCAUCUGCUCUGGGACACUUGCGAUGGUCACCUUGGAGCUAUGCUUUGGGGGCAGUGUCGCCUCACAGUGGAGUUUCCUUCUCUUCAUGUUUUACACUGAGAUCUGCACAUCCCCUGGAGCUACACUGGUUCUCAGUAUCAGCCUGACACAAAAGUCACCUUGGAAAAGUCUCAACUGAAUGGCUGCCUCCUUCCAGUUGGCUGAGAGGGAGAGCUCAUGAUUGCAGAAAAGGGAAGAGCAGAAGGGACAAUGGGUCCACACAAACUCCCACCACAAAGAGGACACAGCCUUGCAAACCAGCACCCGUGCAGAGCACAGCACACCCAGGUAACUCACUUCUGACAGAAGAGCUGCCCGCAGUUCCUGCAAUGGUGCCUUCUCUCUGUGAGGGAGAAGCGUACAGAGCAUCCCGAACAGCUGUCGCCGCCUUCAUCCUUCACCCAGUGGUCAGCGGCUGAACGGCCAGGCUGGUCACUCACAGACCAGCUGAACACUCGGCCUCGACUGUCACCCACAAGGAUCCUGCUGUGAUCCCUGUGCAAAACACAAGAAGGCCUCUG